GUUCUAUAAAAUAUUUAUUUUAUUUAUAUAAAAAAAAAUCCGUGUUAGGGUUCAGCUGUAACAAACACCUUCUGCGGUUCUGCCACCACCUCAGCUUCCAUAACUGCAAUAUCACCGGCCAACGGCCACCAUAUCGCCGUCGACCAUCGCCACGGGCUCAGCUCUAGUUGUGGUAACUAGACAACGUCUCAUCUUUCCCCUGAAUACUGAUAUUGACAAACCAAACCAAGUGACAAUUUUCGAGUCUUCUGGCAAGCUCCUAUGGAAUCUCAAACACAUAAUGAGGAACAAGGUGUAGAACAUCUCUUCAGACGCUUGCAGGAUUUCCCAGACGAUGCGUCGCUGCAUUUUGAUAUUGGCUUAUUCUUAUGGGAAAAAGGAGGAGAAGCGAAUGGAUCCACAGAAAAAGCGGCUGAACAUUUCAUUGAAUCAGCCAAAUUGAACCCCAAGAAUGGAGAACCUUUCAAAUAUCUUGGUCAUUAUUAUGGCCGCAUUUCCAUUGAUACUCAGAGAGCCCUUAAGUGUUAUCAGCGAGCUGUUGCUCUCAAUCCUGAUGAUUCUGAUUCUGGGGAAGCUCUUUGCAAUUUACUAUACCAAGGAGGAAAGGAUAGUUUGGAGGCAGCAGUAUGUCGUGAAGCUUCUGAAAAGUCACCAAGGGCCUUUUGGGCAUUCCGUAGAUUGGGUUUCCUGCAGGUUCAUCAGAAGAAAUGGUCCGAAGCUGUUCAGAAUCUUCAACAUGCCAUACGAGGCUAUCCUACAUGUGCUGAACUGUGGGAAGCUUUGGGCCUUGCUUAUCAGCGAUUGGGCAGGUAUACUGCAGCCAUAAAGUCUUAUGGCCGUGCCAUCGAGUUAGAUGAUAAGAUGGUCUUUGCUUUGGUUGAAAGCGGAAAUAUCUCAUUGACACUUGGUUCAUUUAGGAAGGGAGUUGAACAAUUUCGACAAGCUUUGGAGAUUUCAUCACAAUGUGUGCCUGCACAAUAUGGGCUUGCUUUGGGGCUGCUUUGUUUAGCAAAAGAUUGCAUGAACCUGGGAGCAUUUAAGUGGGGGGCUUCUUUAUUAGAGGAAGCAUCUGAGGUUGCAAGAGCAAGUGCUUAUUCUGUUAGGAAUGUCUCAUGUAUUUGGAAACUAUAUGCUGAUGUUCAGCUUGCAUAUGCAAGAUGUUAUCCUUGGAUUGAGGAGGUCCAAGAAUUGGAAGCUAAUAAGGAAGCUUUCAGUGCUUCCAUCAUUUCUUGGAGGAGAACCUGUCUUUCGGCGGCAAGACUUGCUAGGUUUUCGUAUCAACGAGCCUUGCACUUGUGUCCAUGGCAAGCAAACAUUUAUGCAGAUAUUGCUGUAACUUCAGAUCUUAUUACCUCAUUGGACAAGGAUUAUGAACGAGACUUAGAUGCAUGUAGGCAGCUGCCAGAGAAAAUGUGUGUGGGAGCUUUGCUGCUUGAAGGUGACAAUUAUGAGUUUUGGGUGACAUUGGGAUGUUUGUCUGAUCAAAAUGCACUAAAUCAACAUGCUCUAAUCAGAGGAUUGCAGUUGAAUGUAUCUCUAGCUGUUGCUUGGGGAUAUCUUGGGAAGCUUUAUAGUAAAAUGAGCAAAAAGAAAUUGGCACGGCAAAUGUUUGAUCGUGCUAGAAGUAUUGAUCCUAGCCUUGCUUUGCCAUGGGCAAGCAUGUCAGCUGAUUGUUGUGUGAGGGAGUCUGCUCCCGAUGAGGCGUUUGAGAGCUGUUCCCAAGCAGUGCAGAUGAUGCCUUUAGCUGAAUUCCAAAUUGGUCUCACUAAGCUUGCUAUGCUGAGUGGCCAUCUUUCAUCUACACAGGUUUUUGGAGCUAUUCAGCAAGCUGUGCAGCGUUCUCCUCACUAUCCUGAAUCACAUAAUUUACAUGGUCUGGUUUGUGAGUCUCGAAAAGAUUACAGUUCUGCUGCUAUUUCUUACAGGAUAGCCCUCCAUGCCAUUAGCAUUGCCUCGUUAGAUAAUCAAAACUCACAGAUAAAAGAUGUAUCAAUUAAUUUGGCGAGAUCACUUUGUAAGGCUGGGAAUGCUGUUGAUGCUAUACAGGAAUGUGAAAAUUUGAGGAAAGAAGGAAUGCUUGACUUCGAAGUUUUUCAAGUAUAUGCAAUCUCGUUGUGGCAACUUGGUAAAAAUGAUUUAGCACUCUCAAUAGUCAGAAGUCUUGCAGCAAGUGUUUCUUCUAUGGAAAAGACAGCCAUGGAAAUCUCCGUUAGUUUCAUUUUUAGAUUAUUAUACUACAUCAGUGGACUAGAUGCAGUCAUAACCAACAUUAUGAAAAUGCCAAAGGAGCUUAUUCAAAGUUCAAAAGUUAAUUUUGUUAUGUCUGCUAUCGAUGCUCUUGAUGGACACAAUCGUCUUGGAUUUCUUGUCUCAAGGAACCUAUAUUUUCUCAACGAUCAUGAUGAAAUUGACAGGGUGCACUUUCUAAUAGCACUUGGUAAACUGGUGAAAAAUGGGCAUGAUGGCUUCCUUGCAGUUCAGAGUGGAAUUGCCUACCUCAGAAGGAUUCUGCACAUGUUCCCUAACUGUAGUUUGAUAAGGAACCUUGUUGGCUAUCUCUCACUAUCUGGUAAAGAGUCGAACAGUUGCCAUCUGGCUACAAGGUGUUGUAAACUGGACCAUCUUGACCUUUCUGAUAAAGAAGGUUUAAAAUCAGCUUCUGAUAUUCAUGGUGCUGCAGUAGUUGCCUGCUAUGCCAAUGGGAACAGCAACCCAAAGUCUACUUUUCAAACUUGUACAAAUCAGUGUUCUAGAGGUCCUGCAGCAAUCCGAUACCUGCAGAGAUACUUUCAUCAGAAACCAUGGAAUCAUGAUGCUCGGUACUUGCUUAUUCUUACCUAUUUCCAGAGGGCACGUGAAGAGAGAUUUCCUCAUCAGCUGUGUGUUAUUCUAAAUCGUCUAAUAUGUGUUGCUCUUUCAAAUGAAUUUUGUGGAAAGAAAGAAAUGUGCUAUGAAUAUAGACAAUUUCAACUUCUACUUUGUGCUUCUGAGAUCAGUUUACAAUGCGGGAAUCACAUCACCUCUAUCUCCCAUGCCCAAAAGGCCUCUGUACUCGUGCUUCCUGAUAAUUAUUUGUUCUUUGCCCACCUACUAUUGUGCCGUGUAUAUGCCAUAAAAGGUGAUCUUUUGAAUUGUAAGAAAGAGUAUAUUCGAUGCUUGGAGUUGAGGACAGAUUGCCAUAUUGGUUGGAUGUCUCUCAAACUUAUGGAAUGCCAUUAUCAAUUGCAAAUUGAUUCAAAUGUCAUUGAUUCGAACUUUGAAGAAUGCCUUAAAAAGGGUGCAAAUUCAUGGAAUAUGUGGAUAGCUGUGUAUAACCUGGUGAGGGGUUUGAUUUCCUUUCAUCAGAAGGAUUUAAUCUCAGCCGAAGAGCUCAUGCGAGAGGCUUGUUCAAUGGCAGGUUUUGAAAGCUGCCUUUUUCUAUGUCAUGGUGCUAUCUGCAUGGAGCUUGCCAGGCAGUAUGGCGGUUCGAUGCUCCUAUCAUGGGCUGUUGAUAGUCUUAACAGAUUUCAUGAGCUUUUGCCAAUCUCUUUGCCUCUUGCCUCCUUAUUGGUUGCUCAAGCAGAAGGAAGCCUCGGUGCAAAAGACAAAUGGGACAGAAGCAUUCGCCUUGAAUGGUAUUCCUGGCCAUCAGUAAUGAGGCCUGCAGAGCUCUACUUUCAAAUGCAUUUGGUUGUAAGGCAGUUAAAAGAUGGACCCAACGUCACAGGUAGAUUAGAGUCCUCUCAUAGUGCUUGGAGAUGGGUAAUUCGGGCAAUUCACAUGAACCCUUCUUGCAUGAGAUAUUGGAAGGUCUUACAGAAGCUUAUGGAGUAGAAAUGUAGAAUUGAAGUCAUUUCACCAUCCAGUUCAGUUCUUAACUAUAGCCACUUUCACUGUUUAGACUAACGAAAUUGGGUUGAUGACUUAAAAACAAUAAACUCUAUGGGCCUUUGAGCUUUUCUCAUCCAGCGAAAUCGAACCAGCCAGCAAAGUGUGAUGGCCAUCUAUAGGUCUUGUGUUUCUCUAUGGGCGCUAUGGCCUAUGCAUCAGCCGGUUUUGGAAAUUAUCCAUUCUACAAAAAAGAUCGUCAAUUUUCUAAAGACUUUUCUGACCCUAGAAAAAAGUACACACUACACUGAAGACUUCGGAGUUUAGCUCGAGUUUUGAGUGUGAUGAUAGUAGCACUUUAUGAAGUAGAGAGUGUUGCUUGUAAGUUGUAACCAAGAAAUCUAGUACAAUUGGUAUUGUUUUCAAGGUGUUUAAAUAGUAUGUUCUGGGUUCAAUUAUUGGUGACAAUGUGUAUAAUAGAUUUUGUAGUCAGUUUUGUAAUCAUUGAAAAGUGAAUUUCGACAGGAUUAAAUAUUUAUUGUUGGCUUUUGACCGGUGGAUAUUUGGAGGUUAGCCUCUAUUGACAAAAGAAAGUGAAAUGUGUGGCUAUUUAUAUUCAUCUAAUCUUAUACACUACGUUAAACA